rfam:Bacteroidetes bacterium GWA2_31_9 gwa2_scaffold_9118, whole genome shotgun sequence.
ACAGCGGUUUGCCGAAAAGCUGGGAUAGAGUAGGCG